AAGAUCAGCUGGGAGCUUUUGGCGCAUUUGCCCUCAUUGGUCUAAAUUAGAUGGGCUGAUGGAUGUUUGGGGGAAAAAUAGCUGCAUUCUUCAUGUAUUUCCCCCAUCAAAACAUGUCUGUUUCAUUCCCUUGUAAAGGGCCUCCAUGAGUCACUUAACAAGAACAAAGAUGCUUCAGUCUGCAACUUCCGUGGGGAACCGAGCUUCAAUAGUGUGUGUGUGCAGGGGUCUUCUGAGAUCUGAAAACAUGCCUAGGAGAUGCCCAGGAGCACCUGAGAGCAGCGGCUGUCCUGGAGGCUGGAUUACAAAGACGAAGUCAGAUCAGCCGGCAUCCUUUACCCGAAGUGAGAACCGCAGGCAUCCUGUACGCGCAGAUGUCUGGCAGAGGAGCAGUUUAAAGUACUCUGCCUGUCCUGUCAGCUUGCUUUUGGCCAUGGUGUUUCAUCACAGCAGAAGUGACCCUAACCAGGACAACAUGCGACCUCCUCUCCCUAAAAGGCUCAGGCACGUGGCGAGACCGUGGUGUCCCAGGCACUAUGUUCAUCCAAGGCAACAGAGCUGUGCAAAGUCCCUGUCUCCGCCCCACAGAGCAAAGGUGACGUAUUCUAAGGGAUGAGAAGGACGGAGCGGUGCGGUGACAGGAAAAGUGACCUGGGUGGCGGCUGAGCCAGGUCCCAGGGACCUCCCAGAGUGUCCUACAGUUCUAGGCAUGCCCACUGGCCCCCCAGUCUCUGUAUCUCAUGCAGGGCUAAGGCGCUGUUCCCCACAUGACCUGUGCUCUCUAUAUAGUCAAGAGUCUUCCCUGCUGACUCGCUGGCUCUCCCCGCCUCUCUGGCCCCUGCUGGCUCCCCGACACUGAUCCUCUGACGCUUGCUCUAGCGAGCGUCUUUCAUUGCUGGCUUCCUCAUCUAUGUUUUCCUUGGUCCCUUGUCUGUCUCCACCAGACUGUGAAGUCCCUGGAGGGAAGGGACUGUCUCAUUGGUGACUGGGUCCUGGGAGCCUCACAGGUCGUUGUGAGGAGUGUGCUGUUCUCAGGAAUCACUGGCCCAAUGGCUGGGUAAUCUGGGGGCACCCAGCUUGUUCAUUGCUGGUUAUACGAUUUUUUUUUCUGGCUAUGUAUACGCUUAAAGAGCAAUUAAAUCCACCCUUGGACUUGC